rnacentral:rRNA from 1 species
AGUGAACGCUGGCGGCAGGCUUAACACAUGCAAGUCGAGCGCCUGUAGCAAUACAGGAGCGGCAGACGGGAGAGUAACACGUGGGAACGUACCUUUCAGUUCGGAACAACCAAGGGAAACUUUGGCUAAUACCGGAUACGCCCGUAAGGGGAAAGAUUUAUCGCUGAAAGAUCGGCCCGCGUCUGAUUAGCUUGUUGGUGAGGUAAUGGCUCACCAAGGCGACGAUCAGUAGCNGGUCUGAGAGGAUGAUCAGCCUCACUGGGACUGAGACACGGCCCAGACUCCUACGGGAGGCAGCAGUGGGGAAUAUUGGACAAUGGGCGCAAGCCUGAUCCAGCCAUGCCGCGUGGAUGAUGAAGGCCUUAGGGUUGUAAAGUCCUUUUAACGGGGAAGAUAAUGACGGUACCCGUAGAAUAAGCCCCGGCUAACUUCGUGCCAGCAGCCGCGGU